rnacentral:lncRNA from 1 species
AAGAAAGGGCCCCCAGUGAAGGUGCAGUUCCUGGGGGUCCCCACCAUCCCACUCGAUGUUCUCUCUCUUUCCUCUCGGGCGGCCUCUUCCCACUGAACGAGGAAAGGACGAUAGCAACCAUCACGGGAUGAUCAAGCUCUUUGCCCGGGGCAGACAAACGCGAGUCCAGAAGACUUGAGACCUUCUCCAGCCCCCAACCCAGAGCUCGGGGAUCCCAGAAGACCCUCCCAGGCUAGCAUCCCGGGCUUAGGCCAACGGGGCCAUAAUCAGGGAAAGGAAAUGAGAUCCAGGAAGACAGAAAUAUCUUCCCCUGUUUGGCUGCCUCGUUCCUGGGAGCUACCCAAUAAAUCUUAAAUGAAUGAAUAAUGAAUGAAUGAACCAAUGAACCAAUCAAUCCAUCCUUUCUAGCCCCC